UACGAAGGGGGCUAGCGUUGCUCGGAAUCACUGGGCGUAAAGCGCACGUAGGCGGAUCUUUAAGUCAGGGGUGAAAUCCUGGAGCUCAACUCCAGAACUGCCUUUGAUACUGGGGAUCUCGAGUCCGGGAGAGGUGAGUGGAACUGCGAGUGUAGAGGUGAAAUUCGUAGAUAUCGGGAGGAACACCGGUGGCGAAGGCGGCGACCUGGGACAAUACUGACGCUGAGGUGCGAAAGCGUGGGGAGCAAACAGG
rnacentral:rRNA from 1 species